UAGUCCCUUAAAACAAGGCACAUGGAAUUUGCACAGGAUCCUGGAAGAGGAGUCGGGAUUCUUGGGCAACUAUCCAGGCCUGCGGCUUCCUGGUUGGAUGGCCUUGGAUUCCUAUCCUGCUCUGCUACAGUAACCGGCACCCGACAGAUGCUCCGUAAACAUUAACUUGAACCCAUCCUUUCAACUGGAAGAGGUUGGUGUGAGAGAACAGUAAACAAGCUGGCUGUACGUGCAACAGCCUCGGCCGUGUGGCUGUCAGAGAGGAGGCGAGGUAGGUGGGGCUGUGGAAG